CCGAGAUUGUGUACUUUAACGUCAUUUGUGCACGACAGUGAUGCGGUCAGGACCGAAGCGUUUGCAAGCACCUGCAAGUCGCACAAUGACAUGAACUCAGCAAACGUGACAAGCACUGAUUAAAGAGUCCGACAAACUGAUGCACUGCUCAUCGAACCAGCAGAAAACGUAAUGACGCAGUGACGGAGCCGCUGGGUUUAACUUGAGCCGCAGGUGGGUGGCUGUCCUUUGCUGAACUGCGUGAAGAAGCGUCCUCCAGGAGAGCAAAUUUCAGAGGUUCAUCUCGGUUUUCAUUCCCUCUUCGGCCACACAUGCCAUAAAUGGAAAUACGACCACACAAAGGAGGCCUGCAAGCAGACUGUAUUGGAAGAGGUGAUACUCCCACCCCUCACUCUCAGGGCCAGUGGGUGUGUUGAAGAACUGACAGAGAUUUUAUGGCAGCAGCAUUUGGAACCCAGAUUUGUACAUCUCACGAUGGUGGGUGUUUGUGAGAGAAGACUACUAUUCAGCAGAGGAGGACUGCAACAACACUUGUCUGCCUUUUACAGGAGCACAAAAUCACCUUCUUCAAGAGCACAGGUCAGAUGCACUGACACAAGUCAUGAUGAAAAUCCUCGAACGACUGAUCCCAUCCCACCUCACGUCUUUCAAAGAAUUGUUCAGCUGAUGUUGUGGUGAACAUGGUCAUGAACACGACAUCCCUGGCUGCUACAUCAGGUGCUUGUUGGUGAGUUUAAACGCAAUCAUCCCUGCACUGUUUCGCAGCAAGUCCCAGAACAAUCUCCAGAGAGAUCUGUGACUUUUUGACAGCGUGAAUUUAUACAGGUGCCCUGUGAGCUAUGUGUUCUCCCCACGGCUUCGCUCUAAUACACAAAUGACUCCAGCUCUGGUUAUUCCCUAUAGGCCACUCUCCCCGCCAGUCACUUUGUUGAUCACUUGCUUUGUUCUGAGCUGAUUCUUGUUUUGAUUGGUGCAAAAGGCACAGGGAAUUUCACAUUUCUGUUUUUAGCUGUCAUAACAUAUUACCAUGUUUUAAAGACUAAGUGUCCCACUAACUGAAAAUAAAUCAAUAAUUAAU